rnacentral:rRNA from 1 species
CAAAGUGUGGGACCUUCGGGCCACAUGCUAUCGGAUGCGCCUACGUGGGAUUAGCUAGUUGGUGAGGUAAUGGCUCACCAAGGCGACGAUCUCUAGCUGGUUUGAGAGGAUGAUCAGCCACACUGGAACUGAGACACGGUCCAGACUCCUACGGGAGGCAGCAGUGGGGAAUAUUGGACAAUGGGCGCAAGCCUGAUCCAGCCAUGCCGCGUGUGUGAAGAAGGCCUUCGGGUUGUAAAGCACUUUCAGCGAGGAGGAAGGGUUAGUCGUUAAUAGCGGAUAAUUUUAACGUUACUCGCAGAAGAAGCACCGGCUAACUCUGUGCCAGCAGCCGCGGUAAUACAGAGGGUGCAAGCGUUAAUCGGAAUUACUGGGCGUAAAGCGCACGUAGGCGGUUUUUUAAGUCAGAUGUGAAAGCCCCGGGCUCAACCUGGGAAUUGCAUUUGAAACUGGGGAACUAGAGUGUGUGAGAGGGGGGUAGAAUUCCAAGUGUAGCGGUGAAAUGCGUAGAGAU